UUCUAUUUACAUGUUGCAUAUGUGUUUGC
rnacentral:piRNA from 1 species